AAUAUUAAUCACAACAGCAGAAAUUUCAAGGGGUCAAAAGGGACUCGAGCUGGAGAAAAUUCAAGAUACACAACAAAUAGCCCCGACAGUUUUUCUUUUUUUACCGUGAAGUGCAUUAAGCUAAGAACUUUUUAACACUUGGCCUGGUUUAAUAUUGAAAACCAUUGAACUAACGAGGGUCAACUUUAGAGUUAUAUCUUGGUCUGUUGAAUUGAGUGUUUUUUUUCAUUA